UUCAACAUCGAGGUCGCAAACAAUUAUUUUAAUAAGGGCUUAAAUAAUUAUAACGCUGUUAUCCCUAGAGUACCUUAUUCGUCUAAUUUAAUAAAGAUCAUUGUUAAUAUAAAUAGUCCUAUUUAAAUUUACCCCAAAUAAACUUGUGUACAAUUAUUACUUCAUUAAUUAAGUAAAGGUUCAUAGGGGCUUCUCGUCAA
rnacentral:rRNA from 1 species